rnacentral:rRNA from 1 species
AUUGAACGCUGGCGGCAUGCCUUACACAUGCAAGUCGAACGGUAACAGGUCUUCGGAUGCUGACGAGUGGCGAACGGGUGAGUAAUACAUCGGAACGUGCCUAGUAGUGGGGGAUAACUACUCGAAAGAGUGGCUAAUACCGCAUGAGAUCUACGGAUGAAAGCAGGGGAUCGUAAGACCUUGUGCGAAUAGAGCGGCCGAUGGCAGAUUAGGUAGUUGGUGGGAUAAAAGCUUACCAAGCCGACGAUCUGUAGCUGGUCUGAGAGGACGAUCAGCCACACUGGGACUGAGACACGGCCCAGACUCCUACGGGAGGCAGCAGUGGGGAAUUUUGGACAAUGGGCGCAAGCCUGAUCCAGCAAUGCCGCGUGCAGGAUGAAGGCCUUCGGGUUGUAAACUGCUUUUGUACGGAACGAAAAGCCCCGGGUUAAUACCCUGGGGUCAUGACGGUACCGUAAGAAUAAGCACCGGCUAACUACGUGCCAGCCGCCGCGGUAA